AAUUUUGAGCCCUGAAAUAGCAUAGUUCGUUCACUGCUGCAUGUGACAUUUUAAAAACCUGAGCAAACAGUAUUAUUCUUAGGAAAGAAAAGCUCUUUCUCACUAGGUUCAGCAUUUAGAAACAAUAUUGAAUUGAUUUGAAUCAGAAAAUUGUCUCUGAGAACCUGAAAUGAAUAUAAACAUUAGGCAGAUGAUCUCACCUCUUGCUUCCUGCCUUAGUCCUGUUUUGUUUCCUUUGAGUGGUUCUUAAUAUUCAUUCAAAGUGUGCAUGUGUGCAGAUGCAUCCCAAAGCCACAGUGUCCUCCUGCUCUUGUUAGAGCCCAAGCCCGAUACACUCCAUACUGCAGGCAGCUCUCAUGCCCUGGGUGGAGCCCUUCAGUAAGAAGCCAGAUCUGAUCAGGCACCAGGCACAGCUGUUUCGUGUGUCGAGACCAUGAGUAUAUUUUACUUCUGUGUCUGUGCCUAGCAAACAAACACGAUACUUUUAGAUGUAUAACGCUCUCCUGGUCUUGCCCUUCAGGCAGGAGUCUCACAUUCCAUGGAAUGACAAAGGUUCACAUCCCUUUUUGCCCUAGGUGGAAAACAUAAAAGACUAAGAUGCAUCAUUAAUCAUGCAGACUGUCUGCAGCAACACUGCCAAGAAAAUGAUCAUCCUCGUACCACCCAUCAAUAUCCCUGACACCUGUCUAAGAGCUCAGGUCAUGCAUAUCCGUCUGCCUUUAGAGAAGUGUCAAUGUGCAAACAUUGCUUCACUAUUUUUAGGGUCACGUUAACAUUAUUCAUCACCUACCUGUCAGUUCAUCCAAUUUGUCAUGUUGUGCGGACCUACCGGUGACUGUUGCUGGCCAUCUUUUCUUACGUUGUGGUUUUUAGAGCAUGAGAGCAGAAGAUGUUUGGAAAUUGUCAGAAGUGUGCGAGACAGCAACCAGAGUUUCCCCCAAGGAAUUACUAUGGCUCAUGUUUAAGAAAAAAAAAAAAAGCAGACAUUUGAGGUCCCUGUGGCCUUCCAAAUUUUCUGCUUCUGUCUGAUUUCUUGUCCAGUGAGUUGUAUUUUUAAUCAAUUUUAUUAUAAAGCUCGCAGCAUGAUUCCAGGAGGUUAAAUCACGGCUUACAAAUGAAACAAACCUUCAGAAAUUAGGAGGUCAAAGAUUGCUGUCCUGAUUAAAAAAAAAACAAGCUGUCAGUUCUGAAUACCUAGAAACAUUCUAUACACAAGUUAAAAUUUUAAGUACAAAGGCUGAUAAAAAUUCUGAUGCUGCACCAGGAGCUCGUGAUGGUUUGUCUCAACUGUCACUCAGCACAACUGCCACAGCUCCUGAAACAGCUUAGCAAAUACAUUCCGAUCUCUGAGCAGCGAAGGCAUUUCACCAUAGGUGGGAAAAUUCCAGAACUAGGAAUUAACACAUCUGUGCUUCGAGCCACUGCCCUGCAGUGAUGCUCAGGGGAACUGUGGGAGCUCUUGCCUUGGAUGUUUGGCUCCAUGAGUCUUAGUUUUGUUUUUUUUUUUUAUCAGCAAAGUGUAGGUGUCAAAAGAUCUCCAAUAUUUGUUUCAGGAGUCUAUCUUCCUAUUGUUAUGUAAAUUCUCGGCAGCUAUAAAGCCACAGAAUGAAAUGUUCUGUCUUUAAAUAAUUGUGACCCUCUCUGAGAUGUGCAUGAAGAUGCUGGAAUCGGGGAAAAUAAUCGGAACAAACAGCCCUGUUGCUGGCCUGAGCUCACCAAAGUGAUAAGCUCAAAGCCUGGAAGAGUACCAGCUCUUUUCAGCCACUACCAAGUGGAGUGAGUUUAGCUGUGACACCCAUGAAGUAAACUGGCUAUUUUGUAGCUGUUGAUGUCUGGGACUAGCGAGCAACAGAUAUAACAACACGACCCAAGAGCUACAAAAUCUGCUCAUAAGGAAGAUAAAUGCCUUAAAGAAAGUGUAACUUUGUUAGCUAUUUGUGUUCAUGAGAACAUUAGAGAAGGUUUUAAACCAGUUCUAGCCGUUGAACCCAGGUCUAUGGGUGUCUACAAUUUAGCUGCACCUCUGGGCCCUCAUUAGUGAGGAUCUUAUGAGGAUUGUUCAGUUUAUCAUUAAGACUGGAAAUAUUUGCUUUGCCUUUAUAAAAAUAAGAAUGUCCAGGAAGAGAUGAUGAUGCCUAAGCCUCUUGUUACCUUCAAAUCAGAAUCUCAUACAACACUAAUAAAUACUUAUACUAAAUCAUAAUUAUGCAGAUGGUUUCUCUGACAUAUAAAAAA
rnacentral:lncRNA from 1 species